UGGAAAACCCUCAACCGUCAGGACUGCUGGAUGCCCUAGUCUCCUUCCCCUGGCAAAUCUUUUCUCUUUUUAACAUUUUUAUUGAGGUUGAACAUAAACAUGGUCAAGUUCAUGAAUGUCAGGAGUGGAGGUUGAUGGAGGUCAGGAUUUAGGACAUUUCCAGCCCCCGCUGCACCACCUUGGAUACUCCAGUUCAUUCUCCACUCCCUCAAGAUCUGGAACCCCAAACUGCGCCGUGCCCGACAUCCAUACCCUUUCAAAAUCAAACGGUCACCAUGGUAUCCGCAUCUCCAAUUCCACUGAAGACUCUGCCGUGAAACACAAGGCUGAAGACAGCACAGGGGUCAAGAGUGCCGACCACAUGAGGGGGUCUGGUGAGGUUCAAACCCCAGCUGUGUCCCUCCUCAGCUCUUUGACUUCCCUGUGCCUCAGUUUCCCCAUCGCAUGGACCUGUAUCAAAACAGCCGCACCCAGUAGAGGCGAUGUUGGGAUUAAAGGAGUUAAAACACUCCCAACUCGAAGCAGACUCUCCACGUGCUAAAUGCGCAUCGGGUUAAUUAUUCUUGUAAUUUAUCAUUUUGCUUUGGAAAUCUAUUGGCC
ensembl:lncRNA